rfam:Perkinsus marinus ATCC 50983 gcontig_1104296584610, whole genome shotgun sequence.
GACAGUUUGGCCGAGUGGUCUAAGGCGCUGGCUUCAGGCGCCAGUCCGAAAGGGCGUGGGUUCGAACCCCACAGCUGUCA